rnacentral:lncRNA from 1 species
AGAGUAUGCCAGAUCCGCCACAAAUACAGGAGAUCCACUGUUCACACGGACAGAGUCUCCCCUGUAUUUGCACGGCGUCGCACAAGUACAAGAGUACAACCAGGAUACAACCACCACUAGAUGAAUAUAAAGAUAACUAUACAUUCAUACAUUCACCAUUCACAUCACAGUUUUACAUUCAAUGUUUAAAUAGAAAUCCACGAAAAAUCCUUUUGAAAACUGUUUUCUACACGGAAACCUUUAUUCGUUAAAAACGCUACCACGAGGGGUAGAAAACCUUUUAUUUUACAAAAUCCAGAAAUC